GUGGGGAAUCUUCCGCAAUGGACGAAAGUCUGACGGAGCAACGCCGCGUGAGUGAUGAAGGUCUUCGGAUUGUAAAGCUCUGUUAAUCGCGACGAAAGAGCCUAGUGUGAAUAAUGCUAGGAAGUGACGGUACCGGAAUAGAAAGCAACGGCUAACUACGUGCCAGCAGCCGCGGUAAUACGUAGGUGGCAAGCGUUGUCCGGAAUUAUUGGGCGUAAAGCGCGCGCAGGCGGAUCUGCCAGUCUGUCUUAAAAGUUCGGGGCUUAACCCCGGGAUGGGAUGGAAACUACAGAUCUAGAGUAUCGGAGAGGAAAGUGGAAUUCCUAGUGUAGCGGUGAAAUGCGUAGAUAUUAGGAAGAACACCAGUGGCGAAGGCGACUUUCUGGACGAAAACUGACGCUGAGGCGCGAAAGCCAGGGGAGCGAACGGGAUUAGAAACCCCAGUAGUCC
rnacentral:rRNA from 1 species